rnacentral:lncRNA from 1 species
GGUCAUGGUGCUAUGUAUGCAAGCAAAUGUGGGAUGUAACAUUGAUUGGUAUGGAAUGUUAUGCCAAAUUUUAUAUCUUUAGGGCUUCGUGUGUUACUUAUGGGGGACUUUAAUUGUAUUCCACAAGUUGAAGAUAGAAGGGGUGGGGGUAAAGUUUUCAAAAUUGAUUGGGAUAUAAGGGAGUUCAGGGCCUUUGUUAGAACUUUGGGUUUGGUUUAUUUAAGAUUUGAGGAUUCUAAAUUUACUUGGUGUUUGGCAGGGGUCUGGGAA